UGUGAUUGGCACGGAUUUGGCUUUUACUGGUAGCCUGGUAACAUACACUCCCAGGUCUUUCUCUGCCUCUGUGGUGGAUAGUGGAGUGUUUCCCAUGUGGUAUUGGUGUGAUGGAUAUCCCUUCACUGGUAGCCUGGUAACAUACACUCCCAGGUCUUUCUCUGCCUCUGUGGUGGAUAGUGGAGUGUUUCCCAUGUGGUAUUGGUGUGAUGGAUAUCCCUUCACUGGUAGCCUGGUAACAUACACUCCCAGGUCUUUCUCUGCCUCUGUGGUGGAUAGUGGAGUGUUUCCCAUGUGGUAUUGGUGUGAUGGAUAUCCCUUCACUGGUAGCCUGGUAACAUACACUCCCAGGUCUUUCUCUGCCUCUGUGGUGGAUAGUGGAGUGUUUCCCAUGUGGUAUUGGUGUGCUGGAUAUCCCUUCACUGGUAGCCUGGUAACAUACACUCCCACGUCUUUCUCUGCCUCUGUGGUGGAUAGUGGAGUGUUUCCCAUGUGGUGUUGGUGUGCUGGAUAUCCCUUCACUGGUAGCCUGGUAACAUACACUCCCAGGUCUUUCUCUGCCUCUGUGGUGGAUAGUGGAGUGUUUCCCAUGUGGUAUUGGUGUGAUGGAUAUCCCUUCACUGGUAGCCUG